GACGUAGGGCGCGAGCGUGUCCGGAUUUAUUGGGCGUAAAGAGCUCGUAGGCGGCUUGUCGCGUCGAAUGUGAAAUCUCAGGGCUCAACUCUGACAUUGCAUUCGAUACGGGCAGGCUCGAGUUCGGUAGGGGAGACUGGAAUUCCUGGUGUAGCGGUGAAAUGCGCAGAUAUCAGGAGGAACACCGGUGGCGAAGGCGGGUCUCUGGGC
rnacentral:rRNA from 1 species